GAUGAACGCUGGCGGCGUGCUUAACACAUGCCAGUCGAACGAAGCACUUUAUUUGAUUUCCUUCGGGACUGAUUAUUUUGUGACUGAGUGGCGGACGGGUGAGUAACGCGUGGGUAACCUGCCUUGUACAGGGGGAUAACAGUUGGAAACGGCUGCUAAUACCGCAUAAGCGCACAGCAUCGCAUGAUGCAGUGUGAAAAACUCCGGUGGUAUAAGAUGGACCCGCGUUGGAUUAGCUAGUUGGUGAGGUAACGGCGCACCAAGGCGACGAUCCAUAGCCGAACUGAGAGGGUGACCGGCCACAUUGGGACUGAGACACGGCCCAAACUCCUACGGGAGGCAGCAGUGGGGAAUAUUGCACAAUGGGCGAAAGCCUGAUGCAGCGACGCCGCGUGAGCGAAGAAGUAUUUCGGUAUGUAAAGCUCUAUCAGCAGGGAAGAUAAUGACGGUACCUGACGAAGAAGCACCGGCUAAAUACGUG
rnacentral:rRNA from 1 species